GCCCCAGUGGCUCAAUGGUCUACGAGCUCGCCUUGUAAUCAGAAGGCCCUGGGUUCGAAUCCCGGCGGGUGCG
rnacentral:tRNA from 1 species